UCAGAGUAAUGCUCAAAGUUCCACAACACUUGUUCCUGCAAUCAUUACAUUUGGCGAUUCCGCUGUGGAUGUAGGAAAUAAUGACUAUAUUCACACUCUUUUUAAGGCUAAUUAUCCACCUUAUGGAAGGGAUUUUGUUAGUCAUCAACCUACUGGUAGAUUCUGCAAUGGAAAAUUAGCCACUGAUAUCACUGGUAAGUUGUUUGCUUCCAGGUUUGAAAUUUACUGACUCGACUAAUUUGUACUGUAUAGUGUUUAGUAUUGAGAAUUAAGAAAUGAUUCUUUUUUAGCAUUGUAACACGCUGCACAGCUUUUACAGCCAAGAACAGAGUCAUAGUAAUAGUAAUUAUGCUCGACACAGGGGCAGAGCCAUGUACGACCUAGGAGUUCAUGCGAACCCAGCUCUAUCUAUACAUGGCUGAGAAUAUUUUAUAUAUAUAUAUAUAUAUAUAUGUAGUAGUUGAACUCCCUUCGACUUCUUUAUGUGUUUGUUUCUUCAUAUUUUGAACCCCUGAGGUGAAUAUGCCGCCACUAGUUCGACUCGACCAGUGACUUCAGCUAAAACCAUAUAUGCAUAUUAAGAGAAAAGAUCUAUCUAGAACGUAUUAAAUUAAAAAAAGUAUUGAGUUGGAACUCAUAUUCUGAAAAUCCUAGCUUAGCCUCUGAUUAUUUAGCGAAUCAUGUUACUUAAUUUUUAGCUAUAUGUCAACCUAACAGUUUGUGGUUUAUUUUUGACUGCUGUAGCUGAUACACUUGGGUUCACUACUUACCCUGCUGCAUAUUUGAGCCCACAAGCAUCAGGCAACAAUCUCCUUAUUGGUACUAAUUUUGCCUCUGCCGCUGCUGGCUACGAUGAUAAAACAGCCAUCCUCAACGUAAGUCUUACAACCACACCGUUUCCUAUGUAAUAAUUGUCAGUAAAUAAAUAUCGUUAAAAGUAAUGACUUGUUAGUAGCAGUAAUUGGUGUAUCACGUUCUUGGAUACAGCAGAAGAUAGUGAAUUGCCACUUUUUAUUAUGGCUAAAGACCUUUUCUGUUGUUGACAAUUGGGGCUAACUAUUUCGAUAAAUCUUGGUGAUGCAGCAUGCAAUUCCGUUGUCAACACAGAUGCAGUAUUACAAGGAGUACCAAUCCAAGCUAGCAAAAGUUGCAGGCAGUCAAAAAGCAGCAUCUAUCCUAAAGGAUGCACUCUACCUACUAAGUGCAGGAAGCAGUGAUUUCUUACAGAAUUACUAUAUUAAUCCUUAUAUUAACAAAAUCUAUACUCCUGAUCAGUAUGGUUCUUAUCUUGUCGGCAUAUUCACUAGCUUUGUUAAGGUUAGUUUUUUGCUUCUAAUUAAUGUUUUUUAGUUAGAGUAAUACUAAUAAAUAGUAGGGCUGAAUCCAACUUAAGUAGGUGAAAACCAGUCAUAUCAAUAAAUGACUCACGAUUGAACAUGUCUAAAAGUUACUUCCCAUUUGUGUGGUGGCAUGGAAAGAAUUUGGAGAUUCAAAUUUUUGAACUUUGGCUAUGAAUUCGGACAUAGAAAUUUUAAAUUAUUUUUAAAAUGAAAUUUAUAUAUUUGAGAAUGACGUAAAAAGUAUUUUAAACUAUUUUACCAACAUAUAAAAAACAAAUUGGGAUUUUCACAAUACUUAGCAACUAAAAAUAUUUUAAAACAUAUAGAGGUAUUCCAAUCAAAGAAGAACAUGGUUAACUUUAAAAAAAAUAAUUAUGCCACAUAAAUUGGGAUAAAGAUACUAUACGUGUCAAAAUGGGUUGGAUCAUGACUGAUAUAAGAAUAAAGUUUACAGAAUAUUUUACACUAUCAUGUAAACUUGACUUGCUAUUACACGUUACCCCCCAAUUAUUUAUUUAAAAAUUAAAUAACCUGCGAUAACAAAUCAAGUUUACUUCAUAGCUUAGAAUAUUUUGUAUGCUAAUAUGCACGAAACUUAAAUUCUUAAGAAUAUUGAGUCAAAGACCAAAGCAGCUCAAUAUGAUCCAACCUCCCCUUCUUUUUAAUUUGCUUUUAGAAAGGGGAAAAGGAAAAAGAAGUCUGAGCUAAUGUAUGUUUUUUUCCUAAAAUCAUUAGUUUAAAUUCUCCCAAAUUCGCAUAUUUCUUGUUCUCCAAAUUUUAUUUUGUAUAUUUGGAUUAAUCUUGCAUUGCAGCUCAUCUAUUUGACCCGUUUUACCCUAAUAUUUUGAUGGAUCAUUUCAAAUUCAACCUGGGCUGUGCGAAAUAAUAUACAGUCCUUAUCAAUCCACGAUUAAUAAUUAUGCAAAUCAGGAUUUGUAUGGGCAAGGAGCAAGGAGAAUUGGAGUGACCUCAUUGCCACCAUUGGGCUGUCUACCAGCUGCUAGAACAUUGUUCGGGUUCCAUGAGAGUGGAUGUGUCUCAAGGAUCAAUACAGAUGCCCAACAAUUCAACAAGAAGAUUAAUUCAGCUACAGCACAAUUGCAAAAGCAAUACCCUGACCUCAAAAUCGCUAUAUUUGACAUU
rnacentral:lncRNA from 1 species